UCGAGGAUCUUUCGCAAUGGGCGUAAGCCUGACGAAGCGACGCUGUGUGAGUGAUGAAGGCCUUCGGGUUGUAAAGCUCUUUCGCCUGGGAACAAGAGAGAUUGGUGAAUAACCAGUUGAUUUGAGGGUACCAGGUAAAGAAGCACCGGCUAAUUCCGUGCCAGCAGCUGCGGUAAUACGGAAGGUGCAAGCAUUAAUCGGAAUUAUUGGGCGUAAAGGGCGCGUAGGCGGUUAUGCAAGUCUGAUGUGAAAUUCCGAAGCUCAACUUCGGAGCUGCAUUAGAAACUGCAAGACUAGAGGAAUGGCGGAGAAAAUGGAAUUCCACGUGUAGCGGUGAAAUGCGUAGAUAUGUGGAAGAACACCGGUGGCGAAAGCGGUUUUCUAGCUUUUACCUGACGCUGAGGCGCGAGAGCAAGGGGAGCAAACAGGAUUAGAUACCCCCGUAGUCC
rnacentral:rRNA from 1 species